ACGGGGCCCGCACAAGCGGUGGAUUAUGUGGAUUAAUUCGAUGCAACGCGAAAACCUUACCUGGCCUUGACAUGUAGCGAACUUUCCAGAGAUGGAUUGGUGCUCGAAAGAGAACGCUAACACAGGUGCUGCAUGGCUGUCGUCAGCUCGUGUCGUGAGAUGUUGGGUUAAGUCCCGCAACGAGCGCAACCCUUGCCAUUAAUUGCCAUCAUUUAGUUGGGCACUUUAAUGGGACUGCCGGUGACAAACCGGAGGAAGUGGGGAUGACGUCAAGUCCUCAUGGCCCUUAUGGCCAGGGCUUCACACGUAAUACAAUGGUCGGUACAGAGGGUUGCCAAGCCGCGAGGUGGAGCCAAUCCUAAAAAGCUGGCCUCAGUUCAGAUUGCAGUCUGCAACUCGACUGCAUGAAGUUGGAGUUGCUAGUAACCGCAGGUCAGCCAUACUGCGUUGAAUACGUUCCCGGGGCUU
rnacentral:rRNA from 1 species